GCUCUUGGCAGUUGAGAUUCAGACCUUGACAGUUGUAACCGAUAGACUGGGCUGGGGCAACGCUGAUGAAAGGCAAAUUCCUGAGAGAAAAAUCACCCAGAUUUUUCAGUGCCUUCUCUAGCUUUCUAGAAGUUGUUAUGAGUGGACCUGACUACCUAGAGAGAGUAAUACAGAAGCUCCGUGCCGAUCACAGCUACCUCAUUACCAUGUUCCUCCAAGAUGGCCGCCCCUGAGGAGAAUCAUCAACUGGGCUUUACGGAAGAGAGAAAUCCAAACGACCAUCAGCAACAAAUGAAAGACUGAAGUUGAAAGGAAAUCCAUAAUUUUUGAAUGCUGGCCGAGGUCUGUGACCUCUGACUGAAUGGUUUCCAAGCUCCGAAUUCCUAGGUGAUGUUUUCAUUUGUUCACACUUGCUGAAGAAGGGAAAGGCUCUCUGAUUUACGUGUAAGCAAAACAAUCUAAACAGUAGGAUAAAAUCAUGUUGGAAUGGAGUUCUGUGUGGAUGCUCCUUUGAACCAAAUCAGUUCCACAACUGACCCUGUCAGGGACAUAUAAAUUUAGCAUUUUGGUGUGGAUACAGAAGACGAGAUUAACACAGAUCAAGUAACAUGGAAAUAAAAAAGGAGACAAUGCUGGAUGAUACAGGGGCAGCCAACAAGAGGAGAAAACCCAAGCAUUGGCAAAUGCCUCAUUAUCCAAAGAACACUGAGGUGUGGAGCAAAACUGUGUUGAAUGAACUGUAGAUGGAAAUUCUCUCCUUCCCACCGAGGAGCCGCUGCAGGUUGCAGACUCCCAGAAUGCCACACUGAGAAGAGGAGGGCUAAAAUUCUAGAGCAGAAUCCCUGGGGCAGCCCCUGCUGAAGAAGGGUGCAUCUGUUGAGAAUCUCAUCACCGCCCCCACCCCGCCCAGCCUUCAAUUUAGAGGAAUUUCUAGUUCACGCAGAAUGAAGACAAGAUCACAUAAGUGAGGACGACGCCCCAUUUACAAGUGUGAUUUGGAAGACUGAAGUGGAAACCUUGGGAAGGGGCCUCAGAGUAUGUCAGCUGGGGUCAGACGGGAACAGGAGUCUGGCUCAACACACAUUUAUUGCACUCCUGUUUCAUGCCAAGAAAUGUACCAAAAUCUGGGACUGUGUAACACAGCAAAGGAAAAGACUCAUCUCCAGGAAGCCCCCUUGUCUAGGAAGAGAAAUUGAAUAUCAGCAUAAGGUGGUGAAAAGCUGUGAAGGAGAUGAGUGCCAGGAGUCCAUGGAGGAAGGAUUCUAGCCUGGACAGGUGAGGAAUGGCUUUCUGGAAGAAGCAGAUGCCCCAGCUGAACUUUAAAAUGCCCAUGUGAAAUGAACUGUCUGUAUCUUCAAUCAGCAAAUGGAGUAGGUGGCCACUGUUUAAUUCUGGAAUGGGGAAGUGUAAAGGUGUGGUGUGUGUGUUUACCCCUACUUAGGGAUUCAAAACAGACAGUAAAGAACAAAAGUCUAGCCCUUUGAGCAUUCUCCAUGGGACAUUUGAGGUCUAGCUGGCCCCAGAGAAAGAGAGACAGAAGCAAGGUCAUAUCCAUUUGAGAAAAUCAAAGUGUCUGCUCCAAUUGAGUCUGGUGUCCUUAUUCCUGGAAUAGCCAUCCCUACUGCUCUGGUGCUGAUUUACCUCCGGCAGUUCAGUGCUUCCUGGAAGGUGAUUGUGGUGAAUAGUCAUGAGAAUCUGGGAACUGGCUCCUGCUCUGUCUAUCUUGGAGAUGCAUCUUUUGUGAGAAGCCAGGGCAAGAAUAGGGAGGCUUAGGCAAUGGGAAGUUUCUGAGUAGAUAAAGCAGAUGGCAGAGCAAAGGGACAGAGCCUGGCGAGAGGCUACUCCCUGUAGCAACCUGCCUAAGAGUGAGAGGAAAGCAAGGCAUGGCUAUGAGCACGUGUAGUCUCAGCUACUUGGGAAGCUGAGGCUGGGGGAUCACUUGAGCCCAGGAGUUCAAGACCAGCCUAGGCAACAUAGUGAGACCAUGUCUCUUUAAAAAAAAAAAAAAAAAGAAAAAGGGAGAGAGAGAAAAAAA
ensembl:lncRNA LINC01206 long intergenic non-protein coding RNA 1206